UUACGUUGACCGUGCUUCCCGUGUCGACGAGUACCCUUCUGACUUCUAAGUCUCGUAUAACGAGAUCUAUGACGAGCGGGUCACAGUGAGGUUGAUCGAUGCCGCCGGCCUCUUCCUUUGUGAAGGUGAUCGAGCAAUUUUGGCCAUCUCGGGGAUGAGACCAUGUUGACCAAUUUGCGCUCGACUCCGCCUUCCGUUGG
rnacentral:lncRNA from 1 species